GGGAGUAUAGUUUAAUGGCAAAACAACGGAUUCCAAACCCGUUGAUGUGGGUUCGAUUCCUACUACUCUCGCCA
rnacentral:tRNA from 1 species